UAGUAGCUUGGUGGGCGCCGAGAUACCCGCACGUAUUCGUAUAUUCUCUUGACAGUCCCUCUAAUACAAGAAUUGUUAAAUUUAUCACCUCCUUUCUUGACUUAGACGUGAACAUAGAGAAGGAAAAAUCAAAUCGGUGGACCAUGAAUAAUGAAACCGACAUAGAUGGAAAAGUCAAAGUGGCUAGGUUGGCACACUAAGAUGUCCGAAAAGUAGCCAAGGUGUGUGUGAAAUUACAACCUGUUUAAUACUUGAUUAGUACUACUACUAACUUUCCAGGAAUGGAAUAACUUAAAUCUUUUUGAAGCAAGCAAGGGAUAUUGGGGUCUGGUCAAUCAGAUCAUCAUUUGAUUUCAAUUGUAGGCCAAGAAAUGACGAAGAGCAGAGAGCUGUGUUACUAUGAUGGUCAAGGACAAAAUACUAGUACUAGUUUAGGGAAUGAGAUUGUAGAAAUAGAAGAACAUGGGAGUAAUGGUGGUUAUGUUCCGGCAAGUGAGUUGUUGGAGAUCAAUAGAGGACUAGCUAGCAUAAAAGAAGUUGAAGUUGAAGGUAGUUUAUAUUCCUUUGAUUUCCACAACAACAGGGAUCAUGCUGUUGUCUAUGUUGCUGUUGGACAUAGCAGUGGUAAUAGUAAUAAGAUUAGCAAGGACUCAAGCAUGGAUGCUCUUCUUUGGACUCUCAAUCAUGCUGUCCCGGAUUACUCUUCGACCAUUCUUUUCCUCAUUCAUAUCUAUCCAGAGACCAAGUACAUCCCUACUCCUUUGGGAUUGAUUCCAAUAGGUCAAGUGAGUGCAGAGCAAAAGGAGAACCACAUGGCUCAAGAAAGAGGCAAGAGGCGCCAGUUCCUUCAAAAGUUUUUUGAUGCAUGCGCUGCUACAAAGGUUAAAGUUGACACCAUACUUAUAGAGAGCGACAUGGAAGCGAAAGCCAUACUGGACCUUAUUCCAAUCUGCAACAUAACAAGGCUCAUCUUGGGCACCUCUAAAGCCAACCUCAAGAAACUAAAGUCGAGAAAAGGUUGCGGAACAGCAGAUCAGAUAUUACUAAAUGCACCUGAAUUCUGUGAGGUUAAGAUAAUAUGUGAAGGCAAGGAAAUGGUUGAGCUGCAGAUGUUUGAAUCUCCUUCUCCCAAAGCCAAUACUGCUGACAGUCCAAAGCCAAUUCAGAGUCAUACCCACGAUCAAAACCAAGCGCAGAAUGAAUCGUUUGUAUGUGGAUGCUUUAAAGCCAGAGUCAUGCCUUAAAUCUUCAACAAUCUGCAUUAGCUUAUAUCAAUCCCAAAAUUCAAGGCGGGAUGUCAAUUUCAAGCAUUAACCCCAAACCUGCCCCAGGGUUUAUCAUCUCAUACAAAAUUCAUGAAUAUUGGCAACUAUUGUACAUCGAGAAACAAUGAAUAUACACACCAUUGUUGACAUGUUCAAAAAGAUGAAGACGAACGGAUCAGGACAAACCGGCUUGCACUGCUGAAGAAAAUAGCAGACUUGCCAAGGGGAAUAGUAGAUCUCUCAGUGUUACCCGGAUUUUGAAGUAUGUACGUACUACUAGAAAUAGAGGUUUUUCCCAUCGACAUUCAGUAUGAUUGUCCCACCUCAUUCCCACCGAACCAGCUCACUCGGAAAAUAUGGUGGGAAAUAGGUUCCCAUUGAAAUGCUAAGAAACUCCCUGAUUUUCGGUGUGACAACACUACUAUUUAGGUUUUUCCCUGUGUGAAAUGGCCAAUGAACAUUUUUCAGUAGGAAAUUUAGUGGGAAAAUAAUGAUUUUUUAGUGGUGACAGUGUCCGCUUAGGUUGUGUCAUACUAUCAUGAGCUGAGGCAACCAAGAAGAACAGCUAUGGCUUAUUAGUUAAUAGUGAACGGAGUCAUUUUUUUUCGCGGAGGCAGCUAGGGAAAGGGAUACGACCACUACAGAGCGAACUAGAGGAGAAACUAUUACACAAAUCUCGUUACAAUUUCACAUUUUUUUACUGUUGUACAAUGUAAUAAGUGAAUUAAUAAAAUGCAUCAUUGCUUGUA